rnacentral:rRNA from 1 species
UACGUAGGGUGCAAGCGUUAAUCGGAAUUACUGGGCGUAAAGCGUGCGCAGGCGGUUUUGUAAGUCUGUCGUGAAAGCCCCGGGCUCAACCUGGGAAUUGCGAUGGAGACUGCAAGGCUUGAAUCUGGCAGAGGGGGGUAGAAUUCCACGUGAAGCAGUGAAAUGCGUAGAGAUGUGGAGGAACACCGAUGGCGAAGGCAGCCCCCUGGGUCAAGAUUGACGCUCAUGCACGAAAGCGUGGGGAGCAAACAGG